rnacentral:lncRNA from 1 species
CCUUGACCCAAUUUUAUGUCAAACUCCAUGUCAUCCAACAUUCCUAGAGACACAAGGUUUCUUUCUAAUUCAGGAACAAAUCUGGCACCUUUUAAUAAUAAAAUUCUGCCAUUUUUCAAAAGCAAUUUUAUUGUUCCUAUACCUUUCACUUUGCAGGUCAUAUUGUUUCCCAUGAUAACUUGGCCUCCUUUUGUUUGUUCAAAAUCCAAAAAAUAGUUUUUAUUAUGGCACAUGUAGAAAGAGCAACAUGAAUCAAGAAUUCGUUCUUGAUUCACGUUCCUUUCAACAUUUACAAGAACCAGGCCAUUAUCAAUUUGUUUCUUAUCAUAGGAUAUAACAGCAUUACCUUCACUUAGCUUAUUUCCUUUCAAAUCAUUUUGUUUUUUGUAACAAUCCUUUGCAAAGUGACCCAACUUACAACAAUAGAAACAUUUCUUUCCAUUUGCCUUAGUUUUGGAUUUCAUUUUGUCAUUAUUCCUUUUCUUAGGGUCAUUUUGAAAUUUUAAAUGAAAAUUAGAUUUACCAAUAUUUUUGCCUUUUAAUAAAAGAUUUGCUCCACUUCGAUGGUUGAUAGAAUCUGAUUUUAAUUCAAGAACCCUAUUUUUUAAGGCAUUUAUGAUGAUAUCUGUGGUAAGCUCAUCUCUUCCAUAUUCCAAGGCAUUCUCUAGGUCUUUAUGUCUAUCACUAAUGGAGUUUAACAAGACCAUAGUUAGCUGAUCUUUUGAUAAUUUCUCAUCGCAGUUGGCAAGGUCCUAGGUCAAUUUUGUAAAUCUGUUCAAGUUUUCAUCCAAGUCAACUGAAGGGUCCAUUUUGAAAGAAAAGAAUUGUUUUAACAAAAAACAUUUGUUUUGAACAGUUUUUGGCUCAUAUUGAGCUUUCAAUUUGGUCCACAAUUCUUCAACAGUUUUAGUUUCACCUAUGCACUUGAUCACAUUGUCCAAAAGGUACAAGAAAAUAGUACUCCACGCUAUUUCUUCUAAUUCAGUUCUUUUAGCAACAGACAUUUCAACAGGCCAUGAAUUAUCUAGGUCUUUUGCACAUUUUGUUUGCAUUAAGAUAGCCCUCAUUUUCUGGCUCCACAUAUUAAAGUCCCCCCCUCCCAUUAAACAUGCUCAAUUCAAACUUAGUAGUAGUCAUGACAAGAUUUACCAAGAAAGUUCACAGUACACAAAUUUGAUUUCAAGAACACACUGGGACACUCAAUAAAAAAUACUGCUGGCGGACUAGGGGACCAGGGGUCAAUGACCAAUGCACUUAUACAAUUUUCACAAACAGUAAACACUUAACACUAAGUAUAAGAGGUAGAAUCACAAAGAACAAAGAUAUCAAUUCCUACAGACUCUACUAUAAAAACAAAUUAUAGAAUGCAGGAAAGAUCUCACCAAAUGAGUUUGAUAAAACUCAAUUUCCACCAGCUAAUGUUUACUGCAGUUUAAAGGUAGGUUUCAGAAUCCAGUCAAUUCACAGGAAUCAGAGACGCUCCAGUAGUCCAAAAUUGCUCUCAUACCACUGAAAAGUCGAGGAACGUCCAAGAAUUAAUCAAGAUUCAAACAAACGCAACAAACAGUAAAAUAAAGUGCAGAAAAUUGUAAAUGAUUACAAGAUUUUUUUGGCCGAAGCCCCAGAGGUUCCGCGACCACUUCUAAUGCCUAUUCCCCUGUUGAGCAUCCAUUAAAAUGGAUAGAGCUCGGUUGCACUAUAAAGCCCCAAAAAUCAGGCAACAAAAUACAGCAGUGUUCCAGAAAUUUACAAAGAACCAAAUAUAGGACUUAUCUUUUCUAGAACUACACAUGGCAACCACUAUUCCACACAGAAACUAACUGAGAUCACAAAGGUCUCACAAAUGUCGAACUUCCCACAAUGAACGAGGCUUAUUUCAAGAGAAAUCACAAGGCAGGUCAAUAUUCCACAAAGGAAUCAACGCCGAUCACAUAGAUCUACCAAAACACAGAUUCUACCAACAAUGAAUCACUAAGAUUCAUAUACAAAUCACACAGCAAAUCAGGUUCCACUAAGGAACUGAACUAGACCACUAAGAGAGCUGCUCACUUUGAACCACAUAGGUUCAUACAAACCAAAAAUGGAACAGCACCACUACCAUAUGUAUCUAUAGUAUUACAAGGGUUUUACAGAUUUUAUUUGCUGAAAAACUCGAGAAAUCAUGCUCCAAUCACCAAGUAAAAAUACGGCUCUUCACCAAGAAAUAGAACCCAAGAAGCCGGCUCAAAAAUGAAGUUCCCACACAGUUAAGAAAAUCGAACAGCAAUCUGUCCCAAAACCAAGAAUAUUUCUCCCCAAAAUCUCCAAAAAUAAAAGACCCAAAUUCACCAAGAAGAAGGGCUUCUCGUAGGAAAGAAAGAGAGAGCAAGAUCGGACUUCAAAUGAAAAAUUAAUCUCUCAAAAUGAUGCUGCAGUCCAGAAAGAAUUGCACCGGAUUUUUUAUAUUGCAAGUCACUAUAAUUUGAUCUAAUGGACAUAAUGAUGCCAGGUGUCGAAAUCUGGAUGAAAGCUUCACUAAAGAAGUUGUUACUUUGUAA